rnacentral:rRNA from 1 species
UAGGGAAUCUUCGGCAAUGGACGGAAAGUCUGACCGAGCAACGCCGCGUGAGUGAAGAAGGUUUUCGAAUCGUAAAACUCUGUUGGUAGAGAAGAACGUUGGUGAGAGUGGAAAGCUCAUCAAGUGACGGUAACUACCCAGAAAGGGACGGCUAACUACGUGCCAC